AGGUAUUAAUAGCCCGGUGGC
rnacentral:miRNA from 1 species